rnacentral:rRNA from 1 species
CACGUAGGGCGCAAGCGUUGUCCGGAAUUAUUGGGCGUAAAGAGCUCGUAGGCGGUUCGUCGCGUCGGCUGUGAAAACCCGGAGCUCAACUCCGGGCCUGCAGUCGAUACGGGCGGACUAGAGUUCGGCAGGGGAGACUGGAAUUCCUGGUGUAGCGGUGAAAUGCGCAGAUAUCAGGAGGAACACCGGUGGCGAAGGCGGGUCUCUGGGCCGAUACUGACGCUGAGGAGCGAAAGCGUGGGGAGCGAACAGG